AACGGGGCACAGCACUUCUGCCUGUCUCAACAGGGAAGGACAGGAGGACAGGCCCUAGGAAGAGGGCUCCAGUGCGUGGGGGCAGUGACAAGGAGCCACAUGUCACAUUUGAACAUCCACACUAUGGUGUUAAACCAGCAUCACAUGGCUUGCUGGGUGAACAACACAAAGAAGAAGACUAACUCGUCUCUGUGCAAGUGCCGUGGGGCUAGGAUCUGCAUUUCCAGCCCCUAGCCUUGUGCCAGACCCAAAUAAGGAGCUCAGAGACCUCGGGUCACCACGCAACCUUCCCG
rnacentral:lncRNA from 1 species